rnacentral:rRNA from 1 species
UACGGGGGGAGCAAGCGUUGUUCGGAUUUACUGGGCGUAAAGGGCGCGUAGGCGGCGUGACAAGUCACUUGUGAAAUCUCCGGGCUUAACCCGGAGCGGCCAAGUGAUACUGUCGUGCUAGAGUGCGGAAGGGGCUACUGGAAUUCUCGGUGUAGCGGUGAAAUGCGUAGAUAUCGUAAGGAAGACCAGUGGCGAAGGCGGGUCUCUGGACAGAUCCUGACGCUGAGGCACGAAGGUCAGGGGAGCAAACGGG